GAUUGCCGAACCGAAAUGCAUCAUGGGGAUGUAAACAAGAUAAUCGACCAAAGUGGGAGAACAAAGACAAAGGGAGAAAAGCCUGUAGAUAAAGGGAAAUACUGACCCCAGGAUCAUGAGCAUGUGGCCCAGGCUAUGCCGAACUUGUAUAUGGCCUACUUGCAUUGAACGAUUGGUACUAGAUGUAAACGGUGUACACAGUCAGUGCCUAGAGAGUCUAAGACGUGUAGUGGGCUCAAUGUUUCUGCGACUUGUGACUGAGUGCCAACUUUUAUCAACCUUAUGUGUGGUUAUUUCAUCAAGGGCGGAUCUAAAUUUUCAAAGUUGCAGGCAAUGAGGCUCCCUGAGAGUGCGAGAGAUCAUACAUGCAUUAUGGCCCGUCAGUCCUGAGACUCGCAAACUAGUGUGUAAGAGAAAGCAUCUGAUCCAACAAGAAGAUCGUGUGGACACUGGCAGAGUUGUCGUUUUGAAAUAGCAACCAAUGCCCUCUGACAGAAGAUGUAUACCAGAACUCACAUUGGAGAUAUUUGAUAGCAGAAGCUUUGGAUAAGAGUUGCCUUCGAGAUGAUUAUUGACGAAAUACCUAGUUUUUGAAAAAAUAAUGCAUUAUAGGAAAUACGGAACUUGUAUUAAGUCACAUUAGCACUAUAUUGUACCUUUUUGUUAGACACUAGACAAUUUUUCAGAACACUUGUUUUUUAUGAAGUGAAGCACUAAUAUACGUUCGUGUGAAGUUCAUCGCGAAUGAUCAUCUGACAUAUUCUGAUAUACUCGACAUUUAACAAUUGUUUCUGUUGAGUCUGUUAAAUUAUAUUUACAACAACAGUACUCUCAUAAAAUAAAUUCACGAUCCAGUGAUCGAACCACUAGACUGUUACAAUGAUAUGUAUUUUUGCUAUGCAUACAUUAUGUGAUAUUAUGUUUAUGGAUUCCUGUAUUGUUGGAAACACAGUUGGCAGUCUAGAAAAAAAAUAUUUUUAUGCAUAAAUGAUUCGGGCAAGGACAACAUAUAUUCACAAACGUGAUUCAUUUACUUAACAUAAGGCACUGUUUUGACUUUAUCACGGCAUCAUGUACAUGAUGCCACUUUGUGAAGUCAGCACACACUUUUUCAAGUGUGAAGCUUGACACAUAGAGCACAUGGUAUUGACACAGCUACUUCAUCACCGAAUACACAAUACCGCUUUGUGAAGUCAGCACACACUUUUUCAAGUGUGAAGCUUGACACAUAGAGCACAUGGUAUUGACACAGCUACUUCAUCACCAAAUACACAAUACCGCUUUGUGAAGUCAGCACACACUUUUUCAAGUGUGAAGCUUGACACAUAGAGCACAUGGUAUUGACACAGUCACUUCAUCACCAAAUGCAUGAUACCACUUUGUGAAAUCAGCACACAUUUGUUCAAGUGUGAAGCUUGACACAUAAAGCACAUGGUAUUGACACAGCCACUUUUUCACCAAAUACACAAUACCGCUUUGUGAAAUCAGCACACAUUUGUUCAAGUGUGAAGCUUGACACAUUAAAUUUAUCCAAUAUAUAUGUUGAUACAUAUUCAUAAUUUAUUUUUUUUUACAUUUCUAACAUAACGUGUCCACCUUCAUGAUUAUGUUCAUUAUUGGCACACUUUUUCAUGCAGUGCGUUUUUGUUAUUUUAUCUUCCAAAGCUGCAAUGUACAAAUAUUAUUUCUAUUU